rnacentral:rRNA from 1 species
UACGGAGGGUGCAAGCGUUGCUCGGAAUUACUGGGCGUAAAGGGCUCGUAGGCGGCCAACUAAGUCAUACGUGAAAUCCCUCAGCUUAACUGGGGAACUGCGUGUGAUACUGGAUGGCUUGGAUUUGGGAGAGGGAUGCGGAAUUCCAGGUGUAGCGGUGAAAUGCGUAGAUAUCUGGAGGAACACCGGUGGCGAAGGCGGCAUCCUGGACCAAUAUUGACGCUGAGGAGCGAAAGCCAGGGGAGCAAACGGG